rnacentral:rRNA from 1 species
GAGACUCUGUGCGCGUGCAUAUCAAUAAGCGGAGGAAAAGGCUGCGGAACUGAACGACCGCUACCUACGCUUAGGAUGUUGACGGCAGUAUAGACUGUAGUCUCGCACAGAUGCAUAUCAAUAAGCGGAGGAAAAGAAACUAACAAGGAUUCCCCUAGUAACGGCGAGUGAAGCGGGAAGAGCUCAAAUUUGAAAUCUUAAAGGGUUUCCCUUUACGAAUUGUAGUUUAAAGAAGUGUUUUCUGUUGAGGUUUUGGUAGAAGUUCUUUGGAAUAGGACAUCAUAGAGGGUGAGAAUCCCGUAUUUGACCUUUACUUUCAACUUUGUGAUACACUUUCAAAGAGUCGGAUUGUUUGGGAAUGCAGUCCAAAAUGGGUGGUAAAUUUCAUCUAAAGCUAAAUAUUGGCGAGAGACCGAUAGCGAACAAGUACCGUGAGGGAAAGAUGAAAAGAACUUUGAAAAGAGAGUUAAACAGUACGUGAAAUUGUCAAAAGGGAAGCGUUUGACACCAGUGUUGUUUUUCUGAAAAUCAAUUAAAGAACUGUUUAUGCUAAGUUGUUUAGACUUUAUCAGCUAUCUGCUUAGUUUUGAGCUUUUCUUUAGUGCACUUUUCAGUUAACAAGUCAACAUCAAUUUCUUUUGCUGUAAAAAAGCUUGAGGAAGGUGGCUUGAGAUUCGUCUUAAGUGUUUAUAGCCUCUUGCCUAUGCAGUCGGAGAGAUUGAGGUCUGCAGCGUAGAUCCUUCGGGGCUAAAUGCAUUUGUGCUAAGUUAUAGCAUUUUAUAGACAACUUGUUGACUAUGAUUUGUCUUGUAGCUUACUCGCUUAUGCUAUUUUACCUACGCUUAGGAUGUUGACAGCAGUAUAGACUGU